AAAUUGAAGAGUUUGAUCAUGGCUCAGAUUGAACGCUGGCGGCAGGCCUAACACAUGCAAGUCGAACGGUAACAGGAAGAAGCUUGCUUCUUUGCUGACGAGUGGCGGACGGGUGAGUAAUGUCUGGGAAACUGCCUGAUGGAGGGGGAUAACUACUGGAAACGGUAGCUAAUACCGCAUAACGUCGCAAGACCAAAGAGGGGGACCCUCGGGCCUCUUGCCAUCGGAUGUGCCCAG
rnacentral:rRNA from 1 species